rnacentral:rRNA from 1 species
CAGUAUUGAUCAUUCCCUAGGCGAGAGGUAUCUCCGACGCCCAACCUCCCACCCGUGUAUACCGUACCCUGUUGCUUCGGCGGGCCCGCCUCACGGCCGCCGGGGGGCCUCGCGCCCCCGGGCCCGCGCCCGCCGAAGACCCCAACACGAACACUGUCUGAAAAGUGCAGUCUGAGUCGAUUGUUACCAAUCAGUCAAAACUUUCAACAAUGGAUCUCUUGGUUCCGGCAUCGAUGAAGAACGCAGCGAAAUGCGAUAACUAAUGUGAAUUGCAAAAUUCAGUGAAUCAUCGAGUCUUUGAACGCACAUUGCGCCCCCUGGUAUUCCGGGGGGCAUGCCUGUCCGAGCGUCAUUGCUGCCCUCAAGCACGGCUUGUGUGUUGGGCCCCGUCCCCGGUACCCCCGGGGACGGGCCCGAAAGGCAGCGGCGGCACCGCGUCCGGUCCUCCAGCGUAUGGGGCUUUGUCACCCGCUCCGCAAGCCCGGCCGGCGCCAGCCGACCAACCCAGCCAUUUUCUACGGGUUGACCUCCUAUCAAGUAAGGAUACCUCCUGAACUUAAGCAUAUCAAGAAACCGGAAGAGAA